UAGGGAAUAUUGGGCAAUGGGCGCAAGCCUGACCCAGCCAUGCCGCGUGCAGGACGAAGGCGCUCAGCGUUGUAAACUGCUUUUACUCACGAAGAACGACCGGGGUGAGCCCCGGUGUGACGGUAGUGAGGGAAUCAGCACCGGCUAACUCCGUGCCAGCAGCCGCGGUAAUACGGAGGGUGCAAGCGUUGUCCGGAUUUAUUGGGUUUAAAGGGUGCGUAGGUGGUCUUUUAAGUCUGGUUUGAAAGCUGGUGGCUCAACCAUCAGAUUGGGCUGGAAACUGGGGGACUUGAAUGGGUUGGCGGCUGCCGGAACGGGUCAUGUAGCGGUGAAAUGCAUAGAUAUGACCCAGAACCCCGAUUGCGAAGGCAGGCAGCUAGGACCCGAUUGACACUGAGGC
rnacentral:rRNA from 1 species